CACCAUCCGACUGUCAAAGAGCAAAUAAGUAGGCCAGCAACUGAAGAUAAGAGAAAAGACAAAAAAAGAUUUGAUUCAUCAUGAGCAAUAAGGGAAUUCUUGUACUUGUCGUGUUGGUUGUCGCUGGCGUAUUUUUGUUGACCGAAGCCCAGAACGAUGAGCACGAGAUUUGGGACUACGCGGAAACUCUGCCCAGCAUCGUCGUUAACUACCGUCUAGUUCGAUUGAGUCGUGCUGCUGAGCCUGCUGGCAGGAUGAGUUCCAGAUUCUCCCGUUGGCUUUUUGGUUGACUCAUCAUCUUGUUUUUAAACAAUCAACCGAAUAUUUAUUUUGUUUUUUUUUUCGCCAUCAUUUUCAUUUAAUAUUGAGCACCAAUAAGAAAUCGCAUAUAGCCUAUGGAAUUGCACAUUGAAUACCUGUUUCCAUUACAAAUACAAUGCUCAUCUAUAAUAUUGACCAAUAAAAGCAAUCUUUCGAAA